UAGCAUAAUCAUUUGUCUUUUAAUUGAGGGCGGGAAUGAAAGAGUUGACGAGGCCCCUAUUUUCUUGGUUAAACAGUGGAAUUUGAUAUUUGCAUCAAAAAGUGCAACUUUCUGGGGGGACGAUAAGACCCUAUGAAACUUUAAUUUAAUUCAUUUUAAUGUAUUUGGGAUAUUUGAAAUUUAUUAAAUUAGGCUGGGGCGGCAGCUAAAAGACAUUAGUAAAGGUAACAGGACCACUGGGUUUAAAGAUCUCAUAAAAAAGUGGAAUAAGUUACUUUAGGGAUAACAGCACAAUUUUUUUAUAUAGAUCGCAUAGAAUAAAAAGACUUGUGACCUCGAUGUUGAAUUGGGGGGCCCCACUAAAGCAGAAAUUAGUGAGGGGGAUCUGUUCGAUCUUUAUUUCCCC
rnacentral:rRNA from 1 species